ACUUCCUCAGGCCAGAGAUUGGACAAACAUUUAAACUGUGAUUAUUUAGAGAUCAACAAAUAUAAAUAUAAACUGUUUUGUUUUUCAGUGUUCAUAUGUUGUUAUAAUGAAAAACACAUAUUUAUUUUUCUUCCUCUUUGAUAACAGCAUAUUACCCCAGGGCCACACUGACAGCAGGAGCAACAAUCAUACCAGUAGGGGGCAGUGUGACACUGACCUGCUCUGUGCAGAGCUCUGAUGGAUGGAAAUAUGAGUGGUUCAGACGAACCCAAACAACCACUGAAGUUCAAAUCAGAGAUCAAGAAAACAGAGAUAUCAGAGUAUCUCAAGGAGGAAUCUACAGCUGCAGAGGAACAAGAGGAAACCCAGUUUACUACACUGAUAUAAGUGAUGAUGUCACCAUUGAGAAAACUCUUUCCAAUAAAGUUGUUGUAAAACAACAACCCAACUGGCCUCAGAUAUUCAGAGGUGAGACGAUCACUCUGACAUGUGAGGUGCAGGAAGGAGGUGAAACCACUGAGUGGGAGGCUGUGUCCGAAUUCAGGGGAAGGAUGCUUAAAAUGCCAUAUUUGGAGGCAAUGACGUCACAGCGACGCGACGAGGACUGUCCGAAUUCAAAGAGCACUCAAAAUGUGGUGACAAAUGCGUCCUACUUUGCACUGAAUUCUAAGGAUGGUCUGAUGUAUCCUUCAUGUCCUACUAUAUCCCAGGAUUCAUUGCGGGUCAUAGAGGAGAUUUGUUUCUGAUGGGUUUCUAACGAUGGUGGUCGAAGCAGGAGAGGAAAACACUUUCAUAUGUAAGUAUAUGAAAAUCUGGUUGUACAAAAGUUAAAUUGUCAUAGCGGUCGUUUUGUUAAGCUUUGGGCAUCUGCAUAGACAUGUUUCUUUUCUUUAAAAUAACCGUAAAUCAGCUUGUAUCGGGGGUCCCGCGAUUUUUCAUGUAUUGCCGCUUACAUACAGCUAAUUUUGAUUUUUUCGAAUUGGUGAUAUGUUGUGGGGAACAAAGACCAAACGGCUUAAUUUAUUAAAACGAGGAGAAAACGAUCACCUCUUCACUGGGGUGAAGAAUUGGGCCGCUACGGCGUGGAUGUACAAGAAUAAAUCAAUGUACACAUCAUAUUCAUAUGAGUGCGGUCCUAUUAACCCUCAUGCUGUACAGCAGCGGUCCCCGACCUUUUUGCGCCACAGACCGGUUUAUGUCAGACACGGAGCGGCCUUUAAGGUAUCGCGGAUAAAUACAAUCACAUAAAAUGAUCCGACCAAGACAAAAACUGUGGUAUUUUGUAAAUAUAAUAAUAAACGUGAAUGUACUGUGUAACUGUAACUUUAUUAGAAGCGACCUCCUGAAAAUGCGCCAAUAUUGACAGUCCUCUCUGCCACUUAAUGCUCUCUGGUCGCUAUGGUAACGUGUAAAUAUUUCUUUCAAAAUAAGACACACAACUACAACAAGGGAAAGACUCAGGGAAACCGAGUUAACGAUAAAACCCCUGAAAACCAUAAAUUUCACACCGGAGCCGUAACUCUGUGGCCCGGUACCAAACGACUCACGGACCGCUGCUGUACAGAAGCUGUGAUGUCCAGACGGUGUUCCUCUGGUGUUCUGCUGUGAAAACCUUUGGGCUUAGGGAUUAACAUAGUUGCCAUGGUGUCCUUUCUUCUCUUAUUUGUUGUGUGUGAUCAGGACAAUUCUGGAGAAGAUGGGCCUGCAGGGGAAAGUCACCCCCUUGCAGGCCAGAAGACAUGAGAUAACUUUAAAGAAUACAAAGUACGUAUGUGUGUUAUCAAGAAGAUAAUUCUCAAGAACACAAGUUAAUAAAUGUGCAAUUACUAAGAGUUGUUGUGGUGUUUUUAUUUGCCUGCUGUCAUUUUUGAUUUCCUCUGCCUUUAGGAUUGCAAGUAUCCAGGCUCAGGAGAGGGGGUCAGUGGGAAGCCCACUGCUGCUACUUGGCCCUGGUUUGCCCUCAUGGAUGAGGUGAUAGGACAGAUGCCUUCCAUUACACCUCCUGUCCUAAUUUCCUCUCUCCCUGAGGACACUCCAGGGCCAAGCACAGCAGUGGGUGACCAAAACGACAGCGAUGACGAAGCGGCUCAGCCACCUACGACAGGAAGAAAGAGGAAAAGAGACAGGGAUGAUGAGCUGCUAGACCUCAUCAGAGAGGACAUGAGGCAGCAAAGAGAGGCUGAGGAGAGGAGAGCAGGGAGAGGACGGACAGACUGUUUUCACUUCUUGAAAGAUUAGUUCCCAAAUGAGUUAUGUAUUGAGAAAUUUAUUUAUUUGAAUAUAUUUGUUACAUUGUUAUAUGUGUUGCAUUAGUUUAAAGGUUUUAUGUUAUUAAUAAAUUGAUUCAAACAAACAGUAAUUGUCACUGAACUCAAUUUGAUUUACAGGCAUUUGUAACACGUAUGAACAUAACGCUAACUUUGAACAAUAUUACUUGGAUAUUUAUUUGAUAGCAAUAAAGUAAAUAACAAUAACAAUUAACCCUUUAAAGCCGGUCGGAGCAGGCACGCUCCGUUUUGCGUAAUUAUUUUUAAAUCCCUGUAGAACACAGGAACCGCGUAAGCUAGCGCAAUAAUGUUUUUUGCAUAUGAAACCGGAGAAGUUGUACUUACAUCUUAUGCCAUCAGCUUUUCCUAGGUCACGGUUUUCUUCCACAUAUAGCUUUGCAAAAAUUGCAUAAAAAGCGCUUGCAGGAACAAAAACAUAAUAUUCCAGAAACACGCUUUGCCGAUCCGAUCAGCUGUUCGUAACACUUCCCACAUUGAAACAGACGUCAGCGCGAACGAUCGCAUGUCCGCUAUUUCCUGCCCUGAACCGGAAGUGACGUCAUUUACACGAAAAAUGUAGUUUUUUACUUCUAGGCUUCAAAAGCCUAUACUUGUGUUUUUAUAAGUCAUGUUUGACUUUAUGCUUUUCUGAAUAGUUUCUGGGAUGCUUAGAACUCGAAUUGCACUGCUGGAAAUAGUUUAUUUUGAUGCACAUGCUGUUUUCUUUGCAAAUUUGCAUCAUAGGAUUGUUUUUCGUUUUUCCUGCAGUAUAUAAAAAUUGGUGUAUCUCAAAAAUAAAAUUAUGAAGACACUCAAAAUAAAUUUCCUGUUGUUGUAAACUAUUUUUUGCAACUUUUUUGUAUUUAAAGUUUUGAGGGAUAAACCUCUUAAAUUUCUCCAAGUAGAAAUAUAUGUAAAAAAAAAUAAAAACGAUUCUCAAUUUUUUUGUAGUUUAUUGCACUUUUUUGCAAUGAAGGUAGUUACUAUGGACUUAAUGCAUACAUAUUAUUAAAAUAUGGGCUAUAUCAGUUGUAUUGAUGUAUAGCAACUUGAAAUGCUCCCAAAAAUGGCACUACAGCAUGUAAAAAUAUAAAGUAAGCUCUGGCGGACUUGGUUCUAUGGUAGGUCUUAAAGGGUUAAACAAGAAUAUUUCAAAUACACAGUAUGUAAAGAUGGAAAAACAAUAUUUACAGUUGUUCACACAGGAUUAACCUGAGUGACCUGUUCCUGGACCGUUUCUUUAACAACUGUAAUAGAUUACAGGAAGUCUCUGGCAGUGUUGCUGAAUCUGCCCGAGCAAGAUCAGACAUGGAUGAGCUGCUGCAACUGAGACCUGCGGUUUGUCUUUUCUGGUGGGCGAGUGGAGAAUCACACAGGGUGUCUGCAAAGAGCUUUAGGAUGCUUCCUCCCACUGUCCACUGCAUCGUCCAUCCACAGGGUUUGCAGGGCCGGCUCACUCGUGGCUGCACACCACUAAGAUGUUUACAGAGAUAUGCAAGCAGGAGAUGGUGGAUGCUAUAUUAUUAGUAUAAUACUUGUAACUCUGUAGCAGACAACAGUUUGAUAAAGUGCUAUGUAAAAAAACAAACAAACAAAAGAUUAGAUUUUAUACGUUUCAAAGAUAUUUAGUUUAUAUAUUUUAUAUGAUACAGUACAUGUGUGAGAAUGACCGAUGUUGUGGCAAAAAAAUGAUCGUCUGCCAAAAACUGAUUUCCGUUUUUUGCCCUAAACUGAUUGCUCGUAUUUAACCUGCUAUGAAUAACUUGUUGGUCUAUAAUAUGUGAAACAUGUCAAAUGCGUCCCUCAUUAAUGAUAUCAAGUCACCUUGAGCCACCAGCAACAUUCCUGUAACAAGGUAGAAGCUGCAAUCAGUUUUUGGCAGUGACUUUUAUAUAUCCUUUAUUCAUCCAGUUAAAAAAAAAAAUCUUAUUGACAUUAGAAAUUUAUUUUUUAAGAGUAAUCUGGCCAAGAGGACAGCAGACAGCGCAACAAAUAUAUCAAUUGUACCUACAUUAUAACCAGAGUUAUAAAGAUACUUGAACAACAGGUAAUUAUUGUAUAUAUAAAACCCCUUAGUAAACCAUGUUCACCGAAGUCUAUUUACCAACAUACAUGAAGAUAUUUCACAUAUUACACUCGGAAACAUUGGAAAUCAGUUUUGGCAGGCGAACACUUUUUUGGCACAACGCCGGCGAUAUUUCAAUUAUCCGUGUAAUUAGCUACGUAAUUCCUAAAUGCGUGUAGAUUAAAGGAAAUGAUUUUACCUGGAUAUGAUUGUCUCUGAUGAGCCUAAGGUACAAAACGUGCGGGCGGCGACAAUAAGGUUUUUCUAGCUCCUUGAGAAAUAAAAUUGUCCAAACAACGGAGCGACAUUUCUGGGUCCAUUUUAAAGUUUUCCCGCUGUGGCGCUAGCGUUCGGAAAAACACGCAAGUAAGGGCGGAGUUGAAGGCUAGGAGGCUGUCCACAGCCCAUCUGUUAUGUUGGAUACUCAUUGUUUGUUCUAGUUUCUAUGGAGAAAAAAAGGGGGCUGUCCAAGCCUUCUCACUUCCUGACUACCCGUCCGUCUAAGGACACUACCUUGUGACGUAGGUAGGUAGUGUCCUUAUGAGCAUCCUUCCCCUGAAUUCGGACACA
ensembl:lncRNA